CAGGUCUAAUAACAGGUAUAAUACCAGUGUAGGUCUAAUAACAGGUCUAAUAACAGGUCUAAUAACAGGUCUAAUACCAGGUCUAAUAACAGGUCUAAUAACAGGUCUAAUAACAGGUCUAAUACCAGGUCUAAUAACAGGUCUAAUAACAGUGUAGGCCUGAUAAGUGCUGAUAAUACCAGGUCUAAUAACAGGUAUAAUACCAGUGUAGGUCUAAUAACAGGUCUAAUAACAGUGUAGGCCUGAUAAGUGCUGAUAAUACCAGGUCUAAUAACAGGUAUAAUACCAGUGUAGGUCUAAUAACAGGUCUAAUAACAGUGUAGGCCUGAUAAGUGCUGAUAAUACCAGGUCUAAUAACAGGUAUAAUACCAGUGUAGGUCUAAUAACAGGUCUACUAACAGGUCUACUAACAGGUCUACUAACAGGUCUACUAACAGGUCUACUAACAGGUCUACUAACAGGUCUAAUAACAGGUAUAAUACCAGUGUAGGCCUGAUAAGUGCUGAUAAUACCAGGUCUAAUAACAGGUAUAAUACCAGUGUAGGUCUAAUAACAGGUCUAAUAACAGGUAUAAUACCAGUGUAGGCCUGAUAAGUGCUGAUAAUACCAGGUCUAAUAACAGGUAUAAUACCAGUGUAGGUCUAAUAACAGGUCUAAUAACAGGUAUAAUACCAGUGUAGGCCUGAUAAGUGCUGAUAAUACCAGGUCUAAUAACAGGUAUAAUACCAGUGUAGGUCUAAUAAUAGGUCUAAUAACAGGUCUAAUAACAGGUCUAAUACCAGUGUAGGUCUCAUAACAGGUCUAAUACCAGUGUAGGUCUCAUAACAGGUCUAAUAACAGGUAUAAUACCAGUGUAGGCCUGAUAAGUGCUGAUAAUACCAGGUCUAAUAACAGGUAUAAUACCAGUGUAGGUCUAAUAACAGGUCUAAUACCAGUGUAGGUCUAAUAACAGGUCUAAUAACAGGUCUAAUAACAGGUCUAAUACCAGUGUAGGUCUUAUAACAUGUCUAAUAACAGGUCUAAUACCAGUGUAGGUCUAAUAACAGGUCUAAUAACAGGUCUAAUACCAGUGUAGGUCUUAUAACAUGUCUAAUAACAGGUCUAAUACCAGUGUAGGUCUGAUAAGUGCUGAUAAUACCAGGUCUAAUAACAGGUAUAAUACCAGUGUAGGUCUAAUAACAGG